GCACACCUCAAGAUGAGAUAUCCCAUAGCUUUAAGCUAGUAAGGUCACUUGUAGACUACGAGUUUGAUAGGUCGUGGGUGUAAGCACAGUAAUGUGUUCAGCUGAACGAUACUAAUUGACCGAGGGCUUGAACUG
rnacentral:rRNA from 1 species